GACGAACGCUGGCGGCGUGCUUAACACAUGCAAGUCGAACGGAAAGGCCCUGCUUUUGUGGGGUGCUCGAGUGGCGAACGGGUGAGUAACACGUGAGUAACCUGCCCUUGACUUUGGGAUAACUUCAGGAAACUGGGGCUAAUACCGGAUAGGAGCUCCUGCUGCAUGGUGGGGGUUGGAAAGUUUCGGCGGUUGUGGAUGGACUCGCGGCUUAUCAGCUUGUUGGUGGGGUAGUGGCUUACCAAGGCUUUGACGGGUAGCCGGCCUGAGAGGGUGACCGGCCACAUUGGGACUGAGAUACGGCCCAGACUCCUACGGGAGGCAGCAGUGGGGAAUAUUGCAAAAUGGGCGGAAGCCUGAUGCAGCAACGCCGCGUGCGGGAUGACGGCCUUCGGGUUGUAAACCGCUUUCGCCUGUGACGAAGCGUGAGUGACGGUAAUGGGUAAAGAAGCACCGGCUAACUACGUG
rnacentral:rRNA from 1 species